rnacentral:lncRNA from 10 species
UAGGCUCGCUACGUACCCUUGCUAGGUAGCAUCCCCAGGGCCCUCGCCUCCAGCACAAAUUCCAGCCUGCAGAAACCUUGUCAGCUCAGGGGGCCACGGUGCAAGGCACGCCCAGGGGAGGGAAGCUGGGGCUGCCCUGGGGUGCCUUUCUGUGCAGCUGGAGCAGUUCCAUAUCCUAUGAAGAAACUGGUACAGAACAGCACUCCUCUGAAAAAUUAGCAACCUCAUCUACACAGAGACUGGACUGGAGAAGCCCCAGCAGGUGCAGCAAUCCCAGAAGUGAGAGUCAGAGCUGUGGACGCCACCCUUGCUGUGGCCCAAGCAGUGAACUGGGGCCGCUAACCCCCAGGAAGGGUGAAAAGCCCCAACACCCAGAAGAUGAGACCCUAGAGCUUCCCUGGCCACCCCAGCAGCCCUCCCCAUCCCAGGAAGCAGACAGUUGCAUGGGAAAAGCAAGGACGGCACUCAGCCAGACAGGCAAACAACUGUGGCAAACCAGUGCCAGCAGACAAAACCCAGAAACACAGAGCAAAUGAAAUGGUAAAAAUCACUGUCAACCCCCAAGGUUAUCUGCGCAGAAAGGGUCCAUACAGUGGGGACGGCCGUCCUGAGGCCCGCUGGCCGGGCUGGCCCUUGGCUGGCGUCUGGGAACUGGGAUUUCCGAGGGGCUCCCUGAACCCCGCCUCACUGGGCCUGUGCUAUUUGUACAAGGUGGUUUAGGCAGAACACUCACAUCCCUGCUGAGAGUCUGGAAUUGUAGCGCAGCCCAGGCAGAAGCUGCUCACGUGACCAGCCCCCGGGUACAUCACCAGGCAGGGCAUCCCCAACAUCGCACACGCAGAGUCCCAGCUGCUUGCAGGGGAGUGAGGCGCAUCCUGCGUGACCCCCACCCCAGGAGAGGCCUCCAAAGCUGAGCAUGGUGCCCCUGGACUCGGCCCCAGGAACCUUUCCCUUGGCCGAUUUUGCUCAGUGUCCUCCCUGUGGGAAAUCACAGCCGUGACUACCGUGACCUGCAUGGCCUCUGUCCUCCUGGAGAAUCGCCGCCCUGGGUGGUCUUGGGGACCCCAACUCAGUAUCACAUUAGAGUUCUUACCCAUUAAAAAGAAUGCUUAGUGAGAACACUGGGCAAAGGGCAGAACAGACAUGCCUGGGGGCCUGUGCUGAGGCACUCGCCCAGUGCACCCCACCAGGAGCAGCCUGGGAACCAGCCCAGGGAACGAGGCGCCAGCACCUGGGGAAGCCUGGGGACCCUGCCUCACAGGAUUACAAAGGAAAGCUGACCGCCAACUACCAAAACAGAAACAGCAAAUCACUGACACAGGAAUCUGCCUCUUUAUUGACAUGCUAAGUAACAAGACGCAGAGGCAGGUCUCAUCGCAACCAACCGUGACCACAGAGGACCACAGAGGAGUGAUGACAGGGAGCUGUGCUUCUAAGCAACUGCAGGAGGGAAGCGCAGUCGGAACAGCCUGCUGGCUUCUAGUGGUCAAAUGUGCCACUCACACAAUGGCAUCUGCUGAAAAAGCUGCAAAAUGUCAUUUAUAGGUUAGUGAACACAUCCGUCUCACAGACCCCAACUAACCUGAGAAUUCCAGAGGAAGACCACAGAAUGACAGAAGGGAGAUCAGAAACAGAAGAAAACAUGCCAGAGCUAACCCAAGUCUGCAGAAAAGCCCCCACCGUGAGGAAUCCCAGCUGGGAUGAUCUGGUGUGCUCCCUGGGGGCAGUGGCCACAGGCUCCUCUGACAAUACGACAAAGGGACACACACUGCAGGGCAGGGAAAACACAGAACUUUAUUUCAACAGUCAUUAGGUUCCACCACACAACAGGGACACCA